rnacentral:misc_RNA from 1 species
GCAAGAACCCAUCGCCGCCAGAUUGAUCGCAGCCGUUUAUUAAAACUCUUUCUUUCUCGCUUUCUCCAUUCCAUCUCUUUAUGCGAGAACCAACUCUUUCUUCUCUGAUGUACCUCAAUGGCUUUUCUUGCUUACUCAUAGCAACUUCUCCUCAUAGAAUUUUGUUGCUGUUUGUUUUAUUGCUUGCUUUUACAUGGAAACAUGGUCCGCCAAAGNUUGUCUAAUUUAUAUUAGGAAAUCGACUCUAGGAGAGUAACCCAUACUUCGAUUCUAAUUUUUUUUUUUU